rnacentral:lncRNA from 1 species
UGGCUCAUNACAUCUGUCACCCCAUUGAUCGCCAGGGUUGAUUUGGCUGAGCUGGCUGGCUAGGCAGGUGUCCCCUUCCUCCCUCACCGCUCCAUGUGCGUCCCUCCCGAAGCUGCACGCUCGGUCAAAGAGGACGACCAUCCCUGAUAGAGGAGGGCCAGUCUUCCGUCAAGGGUAUACUAGUAGCUGCGUUCCCCUGCUAGAACCUCCAAACAAGCUCUCAAG